rnacentral:rRNA from 1 species
UACGUAGGGGGCAAGCGUUGUCCGGAAUCAUUGGGCGUAAAGCGCGUGUAGGCGGCUCGGUAAGUCUGCUCUGAAAGUCCAAGGCUCAACCUUGGGAUGCGGGUGGAUACUGCCGGGCUCGAGUCCGGAAGAGGCGAGUAGAAUUCCUGGUGUAGCGGUGAAAUGCGCAGAUAUCAGGAGGAACACCAAUGGCGAAGGCAGCUCGCUGGGACGUGACUGACGCUGAGACGCGAAAGCGUGGGGAGCAAACAGG